GGGGGCAAUAUUGGACUGUGGGGGCAAGCCUGAUCCAGCCUGCCGCGUGUGUGAAGAAGCCUUCGGGUUGUAAAGCACUUUUGUCCGGGACGAAAGCGACUGGGAUAAUACCCUGGUUGUAUGACGGUACUGGAAGAAUAAGCACCGGCUAACUUCGUGCCAGCAGCCGCGGUAAUACGAAGGGUGCAAGCGUUACUCGGAAUUACUGGGCGUAAAGCGUGCGUAGGCGGUUAUUUAAGUCUGAUGUGAAAUCCCCGGGCUCAACCUGGGAAUGGCAUUGGAAACUGGAUGGCUAGAGUGAGGUAGAGGGUGGUGGAAUUCCCGGUGUAGCGGUGAAAUGCGUAGAGAUCGGGAGGAACAUCUGUGGCGAAGGCGGCCACCUGGACCAUCACUGACGCUGAGGCACGAAAGCGUGGGGAGCAAACAGGAUUAGAUACCCUGGUAGUCCACGCCCUAAACGAUGCGAACUGGAUGUUGGCCACACUUAGGUGGUCAGUGUCGAAGCUAACGCGUUAAGUUCGCCGCCUGGGGAGUACGGUCGCAAGACUGAAACUCAAAGGAAUUGAAGGGG
rnacentral:rRNA from 1 species